UGUCAGGUUUCCAAAACCUUGGCAUCUGCUAAAACCUGGACUGCUGGGAAUUGAAGGCUCAGGAAGUUCACAAACACACACACCAAACCCCCAAGAGGAGGAAACCUCCAGUUGAGAAGAUGGGAGGUUUCAGUCGCAUCCCCGUCCAGCACUACAAUCAGCAAGGUGCCUGGUGGUAGCUGCUCCGCUGGACUGCAGUGCAUGAUGAUAAAGAGCAAUGCCACCCCUGCUGACCUUCCCUUCCUGGACAGGAGUAUGAGUACAAGGACAGAAGUCAAGAGAGACUGAAAGAAAAGCCCAUUGUGGACCCUGGCCAACGCCGAGAGGUUGAGAGAUGGAUGGGCAGAGGAACAAAGACUUGUUGAAGACCUGCUGAGGCACAUCCAAAGGCAUGAGUCACUCCCGUGGCGUUCCAAUGGCAGCAGAUUGAGUGGCUAUGAUCUGGAACCAGGGGUUCUGCUUGGAAAUUUUCCAGGAAAGAGGAAAACUUGGGGUGAGAAGAGAAAGGAUAACCUUGCCGGCCUGAGGGCAAAACAUGUUGGAAACACAAAAAACAAAUGAUGUCCCUUGGCUGAACUUUCUUAGUCUAUACAGGUGCUAAAUAUUAGGUUAUCUUUUCACUUCUUCAGAUUUUUUUAAAAAUCUUCUCUUCUCAGGAGCUGAAAUGAAUAUAUACCUAAUAGAAGGGGUUCUUUUUUUUUUUUUUGGUUUUAAAGGUUACAUGUCACUGUGUAUUCUAGGAAGAUAAUUUGAGGUUCAUUCAACCUUAGUUGUGCCAGCAGGAAGACAAAUGGCCCCGGUGUGUGUUAUAGGUGUACACACUGUCACUAAUUCAGGAUGCCUUCAUUCAUUCGUUCUCUGAUGUGUAUUAGCAUUUUCUGUUGACCAAGAGUAGUUUUGUCACAAGUCUGAUUAGUAGUGAGAUGGAACAUCUUGUACGUUUAUUAACCAUUUAUUUUAAGUAAUGCCUUGUUGAUGUGUUACUUAAAAGAAAGUUUUAUCUCUUGGAUAUAGCUUGUACACUAAAAUUCCCCACAUUGUUGUAUAUUACUUACCUUAUAAACAAAAGCCCACCGGUGCCGCUUUUGGAUACCACACCAGAGAGGACAAAGGAAACUUGUUGUAAACCCAAACCCACUAUUUAAAGAAAUCUCGUGAUUCCUCUGGGUCACAGCAUAGGAAUGAGCCAAAGGCAGGCAGAUUCAGGCAUUUUUCUUGUUGGUUGUACUCUGAGCACUUUUGCCCAGAUCUUCACACAUGUGGGACUGGCCUUGCCUGGCGUGGAACCUGAGACAUGGGGGUAUGCUGGUAACAAGGAAAUGGUGCAUUAGUUUGCUAGGACUGCCAUAACAAAGUACCACAGACGAGGUGGGUGGCUUACAGCAGGAAUUUAUUGUCUCACACUCCAGAGGCUAAGAGUCCGAAAUCAUGGUGUCAGCCGCGUUGAUUCCUCCGAGGGCUGUGAGGGAAGGAUCUGUUCCAGGCCUUUCUCCUUGGCUUAUAGAUGGCUGACUUCUCCCUGUGUCUUUUCACAUUGGCUUCCCUCCAUAUGCAUCUGUCUUUAUGUCCAAAUUUCCCCUUUUUAUAAGGACACCAACCAUAUUGGAUUAGGGCUUACCCUACUGACCUCAUAUUAAAGACCCUAUCUCCAAAUGAGAUCACAUUCUGAGCUACUGGGGCUUAGGACCCCAACAUAUCUUUUUUCUUUCUUUUUUUUAUUUUUUCAGGGCAGGAAAGCAAGGACAAUUCAACAACAACUGAUGGCAUAAUAAUGACGUUAAUAGUAAAAGUGGGGUCAGAGCCUGGCUCUCUGACUAGUUACCCAGGAUUUUUUUAUCAGACCCCGCACCUCUGCAUUCCAUGCUGUCUUCCUGCCCUUUUCCCUGGGUUCCUGUUGAUACCUGUGCAUUUCUCUAAUGUAAUAAUGAGGUAAUUGGGCAUUUAUCUCCCUGAUGAGACUUCAGCACUAGCUGUGAGCAGGGACUGUGUCUUUUGUUCCUGUGUCUAGCACCGUGCCUGACCCAGACAAGGUGAUUGAAUGGAUAACAACAUCUAUCUUGUAAAGAGUGCCGGUCCACACUGCCAUUCGUCUUCCUGAUUGCACAACUAAAUAUAAGUGAAUCUAGACUCAGCCCUGUGAAACAAAGUGGCAUGAAAACUUGAAACAUUUAAAAAUCCUUAUUAAGUAUAUUGUGGCACAUUGUGGAUAGAAGCUUCUAGAUGGGAUGGUGGAAUAAGGAAGUCCAAAAUGGGGGAGUCCUUACAUGCAGCUACUUCAUGAGUGAAGCAAGUUCAGCCAAAGGAUACUGUGCCCUACUUACAUUAAUAAUGAACUUCAGAUUUAAAGUCUAAGUUAAAAAUUACAGUUAGAGAAAAUGGAAAUACUUCUGUGGAGAUUAUUCUAUGGUUAAUAAAUAGAG